UGUUCUGUGGUUUAGUUGGUAAAAGCACCGAUCAAGCGAAUACAGAGUCGUGGAUUCAAAUCCCACCAGAACGC
rfam:Aedes albopictus isolate Foshan contig52071, whole genome shotgun sequence.